GUGCCUCCCAAGUAGGGCAAAAGUGGUUUGGGAGGCGGACUUGGGAAACAAAUGUGCUGCCAUCAUGCCAUUAAGAAUAUACAGUCCCCACCACUAGCUAGUGGGCGGUGGCCGGCCACCGUGACAGAAAUGGAGCAGAGAGGUACUGUAACGAAAAUUUGGUGGAGGAUUCUUGUGAUUCUAAGAACAUAGGAGGGAUAAUGGACUGGUGUCGCUUUCUCUCUCUUCUUCUCAUCUCAGUCCUCCUCUCAUCCUCCCUUUUUCAAGUAGGAUUUGGAAAAAGGAUUGGAAUUCUGAGGCCUGUUGAUAAAGGAGGGUAUCCCUUUGAGCCUGAGCAGGAAAGAUCAGGAAGGGAAACGGUGGACAUGGAGAUGGACUACAAGGAACCCGGAGCCAACACCAACCCAAGGAGUGGAGACCCCUUCAACCCCCCACCCAGGUCACCAAGGCCUUGAUGGCCUUCCUGUUUACAAUUAAAAUUAAGAUAUAAAUCUGUAUCUAUAUAUAUAGCUAUGGAUAUUCCUCUCUUCCUGAGGAUGUACCAAUGUCUAUCUUGUACAGUAUGUGAUCAAGUUUGUGGAGGAAAGCAGAGGUUUUGCUCUCAGGAUCCAUUGUCUAAGAACAGUUGAUGUAAUUCUCAGGUUGGAGAUAUGGAGAUGAAGAGAGCUUUACAAAUGGGCUUAUGAUGUUCUACUUUUAUGUAAGUAUUUCGUGAUGGGAGUUCCCAUCUUUUAAUAUCAAAAAAAUAAAUUGACGAAAGAAAAAGAACUUAGAAUUGGCUGAAAGUGAGGUGGCAUCUUCAUGGAAUCUAUUAGCAACAAGCCGAAGAAUUGAGUUAAGAUGCAGACUAUCAAUUAUAUUUCUUUUAGUUAGGAAGUGAAUAUAAUACACCUUAUGCUUCUCAUAAUAAUUUCAUUUCACAUUAUUCAAAAUGAAAAGAAUCAAUGGUAAUGUGGCUCAGAUGCAAUUACUUCAGAGCAUUCCUCUAAGUUUCUGAAUAGUAAUGUUCCACAAUCAUAGCAAGAAUGAGUCAGAGUCAGCUAAUAAUUGAGCCUUACAGAGAUGGAAAAGCCAAUAAUGAAGCAGGGACCUGAUCCCAUACUUUCUGUGUUCCAAAGUAUAACACUGUUGAUCUAGCUUGGAUAAAUUCACAAGUGUUGUACAUAAGAUUUUCUGUUUAGAACUUUCAGUGGUGGCAUGACAGAAUAUUCUCCACAUCAAAGUUGUCAAACAAAGAUUUCAUAAAAUAAUGCAGGCAAUCUGAUACUCCUAAACAAUUUAGUUUUCCUCAAA